rnacentral:misc_RNA from 1 species
UGAAACAAUCGUCUCAUUAUCUCUAAUAGUUUGAGUGGUAGCGAUUGUGUCCAGGGCCAUGGAUGUUAUGAAGGUGGAGGUUAAAGAGAAGCAGACAAGGAGUAUAAUAAAAUUCUCCAUUGUUUUCUUCUGCUUCUCAGUCUGCUGCAUCUCUUUUAAAUGUUGAAGGAUUGAUUCCAAUCAUGGUUAAAGACAUAUGGUUGCCAAGUCCUUCAUUUGUCACAUGUGGCCCUUCAGACUAAGGUUGGGGAAUUUAUUUGACACACUUACAAAAUCAAUAUAUUUCGCGGAAGAUGCUA